UAGUCCACGCUGUAAACGAUGUCGAUUUGGAGGUUGUGCCCUUGAGGAGUGGCUUCCGGAGCUAACGCGUUAAGUCGACCGCCUGGGGAGUACGGCCGCAAGGUUAAAACUCAAAUGAAUUGACGGGGGCCCGCACAAGCGGUGGAGCAUGUGGUUUAAUUCGAUGCAACGCGAAGAACCUUACCUACUCUUGACAUCCAGAGAACUUUCCAGAGAUGGAUUGGUGCCUUCGGGAACUCUGAGACAGGUGCUGCAUGGCUGUCGUCAGCUCGUGUUGUGAAAUGUUGGGUUGAGUCCCGCAACGAGCGCAACCCUUAUCCUUUGUUGCCAGCGGUUCGGCCGGGAACUCAAAGGAGACUGCCAGUGAUAAACUGGAGGAAGGUGGGGAUGACGUCAAGUCAUCAUGGCCCUUACGAGUAGGGCUACACACGUGCUACAAUGGCAUAUACAAAGAGAAGCGACCUCGCGAGAGCAAGCGGACCUCAUAAAGUAUGUCGUAGUCCGGAUUGGAGUCUGCAACUCGACUCCAUGAAGUCGGAAUCGCUAGUAAUCGUAGAUCAGAAUGCUACGGUGAAUACGUUCCCGGGCCUUGUACACACCGCCCGUCACACCAUGGGAGUGGGUUGCAAAAGAAGUAGGUAGCUUAACCUUCGGGAGGGCGCUUACCACUUUGUGAUUCAUGACUGGGGGUGAAGUCGUAACAAGGUACCAAGGGCGAA
rnacentral:rRNA from 1 species